rnacentral:tRNA from 1 species
GCCUGGGUGGCUCAUUCGAUUAAGCAUCAGACUCUUGGUUUCUGCUCGGGUCAUGAUCUCACAGUUUUGUGGGUUCGACUCCCACAUCAGGCU